GGAACCAAAAGGAGUUCUUCUCCUUGAACCCUAAUUCAAGAAAUUAGCCCAAAAUCAAGAGGAAAAUCGGGUCAAAAUCAAUACCAAGCUGAAUUUGGUGAUCACUAAACUUAGGGGAUCACAAGUUUGACGCUUGACAAGCUAGGUGGAGGCUUGGGAAAGAAGCGGGUCAAACGGGUUGAAUACGCGGAAAAAGAGCAAAAUCGGAUGCAAGGUAUAACUUAUAGCACCAGAGGACGAUCAAGCUCAACGAAGAACCGAACACGAUCAAGAUACAAGCUUCCGCAUAUUGUUUCGUCGUUAAUUUUAAUGACGAACUCAUACAUAUUAUGUUGUAUUGUUUUUAUUGAGAAAAGUUUUUAUUAACCCGUAUUUUCAUACGUACGUGUAAUCGUAAUUACACUUU